UACGUAGGGUGCAAGCGUUAAUCGGAAUUACUGGGCGUAAAGCGUGCGCAGGCGGUUAUGUAAGACAGGGGUGAAAUCCCCGGGCUUAACCUGGGAACUGCAUUUGUGACUGCAUAGCUAGAGUACGGUAGAGGGGGAUGGAAUUCCGCGUGUAGCAGUGAAAUGCGUAGAUAUGCGGAGGAACACCGAUGGCGAAGGCAAUCCCCUGGGCCUGCACUGACGCUCAUGCACGAAAGCGUGGGGAGCAAACAGG
rnacentral:rRNA from 1 species